UACGAAGGGGGCUAGCGUUGCUCGGAAUUACUGGGCGUAAAGCGCACGUAGGCGGCUUCUUAAGUCGGUGGUGAAAUCCUGGAGCUCAACUCCAGAACUGCCUUCGAUACUGGGAAGCUCGAGUCCGGGAGAGGUGAGUGGAACUGCGAGUGUAGAGGUGAAAUUCGUAGAUAUCCGCAAGAACACCAGUGGCGAAGGCGGCUCACUGGCCCGGUACUGACGCUGAGGUGCGAAAGCGUGGGGAGCAAACAGG
rnacentral:rRNA from 1 species